rnacentral:rRNA from 1 species
AGCGAACGCUGGCGGCAGGCUUAACACAUGCAAGUCGAGCGCUGUAGCAAUACAGAGCGGCAGACGGGAGAGUAACACGUGGGAACGUACCCUUCGGUUCGGAAUAACUCAGGGAAACUUGAGCUAAUACCGGAUACGUCCGAAAGGAGAAAGAUUUAUCGCCGAGGGAUCGGCCCGCGUCCGAUUAGCUAGUUGGUGAGGUAACGGCUCACCAAGGCGACGAUCGGUAGCUGGUCUGAGAGGAUGAUCAGCCACACUGGGACUGAGACACGGCCCAGACUCCUACGGGAGGCAGCAGUGGGGAAUAUUGGACAAUGGGCGCAAGCCUGAUCCAGCCAUGCCGCGUGGGUGAUGAAGGCCUUAGGGUUGUAAAGCCCUUUCGGCGGGGAAGAUAAUGACGGUACCCGCAGAAGAAGCCCCGGCUAACUUCGUGCCAGCCGCCGCGGUAAGAC